UAUUAACAUGAUGCUAUACCAUCUUUCGGGUCUGAUUUUAAACUGAAUGAUAUCUUUUUCCACACUGAUAUUUCCUAAUUAUUG